ACUCAAAUGAAUUGACGGGGACCCGCACAAGCGGUGGAGCGUGUUGUUUAAUUCGAUGGUAAGCGAAGAACCUUACCAAGGCUUGACAUCCUAAGAAUUUUGAUGAAAGUCGAGAGUGCCUUCGGGAACUUAGUGACAGGUGAUGCAUGGCCGUCUUCAGCUCGUGUCGUGAGAUGUUAGGUUAAGUCCUUCAACGAGCGCAACCCUUAUGAUUAGUUGGAUUUUUCUAGUCAGACUGCCCCGGUAACGGGGAGGAAGGAGGGGAUGAUGUCAGGUCAGUAUUUCCCUUACGCCUUGGGCGACAAACGCGCUACAAUGGCCGGUACAAUGAGCAGCCAAGUCGCGAGACGGAGCAAAUCUCAUCAAAGCCGGUCCCAGUUCGGAUUGCAGGCUGAAACUCGCCUGCAUGAAGUCGGAAUCGCUAGUAAUCGCAGAUCAGAAUGCUGCGGUGAAUACGUUCCCGGGUCUUGUACACACCGCCCGU
rnacentral:rRNA from 1 species